UCUCUUCGGAGAUGAGUGGCGAACGGGUGAGUAAUACAUAGGUAACCUGCCCCUGUGCGGGGGAUAACAGGAGGAAACUCCUGCUAAUACCGCAUAGCCAUGAGCACCGCAUGGAGCUCAUGCCAAAUAUCCUUUCGGGGAUAGCGCAGGGAUGGACCUAUGGCGCAUUAGCUUGUUGGCGGGGCAACGGCCCACCAAGGCAACGAUGCGUAGCCGGCCUGAGAGGGCGGACGGCCACAUUGGGACUGAGACACGGCCCAGACUCCUACGGGAGGCAGCAGUAGGGAAUUUUCGGCAAUGGGGGAAACCCUGACCGAGCAACGCCGCGUGAGCGAAGAAGGCCUUCGGGUCGUAAAGCUCUGUUGUAAAGGAAGAACGGCGCAUACAGGAAAUGGUAUGCGAGUGACGGUACUUUACCAGAAAGCCACGGCUAACUACGUGCCAGCAGCCGCGGUAAUACGUAGGUGGCGAGCGUUAUCCGGAAUCAUUGGGCGUAAAGAGGGAGCAGGCGGCCGCAAGGGUCUGUGGUGAAAGACCGAAGCUAAACUUCGGUAAGCCAUGGAAACCGGGCGGCUAGAGUGCGGAAGAGGAUCGUGGAAUUCCAUGUGUAGCGGUGAAAUGCGUAGAUAUAUGGAGGAACACCAGUGGCGAAGGCGACGGUCUGGGCCGCAACUGACGCUCAUUCCCGAAAGCGUGGGGAGCAAAUAGGAUUAGAUACCCUAGUAGUCCACGCCGUAAACGAUGGUCACUAAGUGUCGGGGGUCAAACCCCGGUGCUGCAGUCAACGCAAUAAGUGACCCGCCUGAGUAGUACGUUCGCAAGAAUGAAACUCAAAGGAAUUGACGGAAGGGCGAA
rnacentral:rRNA from 1 species